rnacentral:misc_RNA from 1 species
AAUUCUCAAUCUCUACACACUUGUGUUGUUAGUGGAUUGGAGGUGGGGGUUUUGUGGGCGUACUUUGUAUACCCACUCCUCUGAAAACCAUUAGCUGGAAUGCCUUUGCAAAACCAACUAUCAGUAUGAUAAUUAUCUACGCUGGUGUUGUUGUGAAGGGAAUCUGCUUUCAAACCGUCUUUAUGACAAUUUGAAUCC